CCGGUCGGAGCCCCAUCCACCGGUGAUGCAAAACCGGGGGUGUGCAGCCCCCGCUGACAGAGCCGUCCCAUUCCGCAGCCUGGCUGUCAGAAGCCCUCCAUAUGGCCAUGUGAUUGCUGCUGCUGCUGCUGCUUCACGUGAUCCAGCUUUCUGGCACAAAGGCUCGGAGCUCGUACAGAUGAUUGUUAAACAUCAUGAGACUCUGCAAGUGAAUCUCUUGAAGAAAAGCUUGAAAGCCUGGAUGCUGAAGAUCUCAUGUCUCAUCUGUCACGACCAGAAACUUACCUAGAUGAGGAGAAAAGAUCAAGGAAGUAAAACUGACCAAACUAUGGGACUGACAAGUUUAAGCAUUGUGUUGCUCUAGGGGAAGGAAGGGGUUAGAGAUGCUGCAGAGCCUCAGACAGACUACUUCAUCUGGAAAUGCUGUAGGGUACUGCUUCAUUCUGCAAUUUGCAGCUAAUGACUGAGCAGAAAGCUUUUAUAUCCCAAGAAGCUUUAAAAUAAAGCAGUUUCAUUUGUAUCAAUUUCCUACUCAAGCUCACGUGACAGUACUUGGGCUGCCUGUCUUGGUGACAGCAUGAAUUUAUACAGACACAAGCAAUCAGAUCAUACAAUUUUCAAGAAGAUUAAAGACAAUACAAGGUGGCUAAGGGAUUCUUGAGGCUAAAGCUGCAAUCCAAAUGUGAUCUGCUUUCUCAGUU